ACCCGCACAAGCGGUGGAUGAUGUGGAUUAAUUCGAUGCAACGCGAAGAACCUUACUACCCUUGACAUGUCCGGAACUUGCCAGAGAUGGCUUGGUGCCCGAAAGGGAAUCGGAACACAGGUGCUGCAUGGCUGUCGUCAGCUCGUGUCGUGAGAUGUUGGGUUAAGUCCCGCAACGAGCGCAACCCUUAUCAUUAGUUGCUACGCAAGGGCACUCUAAUGAGACUGCCGGUGACAAACCGGAGGAAGUGGGGAUGACGUCAAGUCCUCAUGGCCCUUAUGGGUAGGGCUUCACACGUCAUACAAUGGUCGGUACAGAGGGUUGCCAAGCCGCGAGGCGGAGCCAAUCCCACAAAGCCGAUCGUAGUCCGGAUUGUUCUCUGCAACUCGAGAGCAUGAAGUCGGAAUCGCUAGUAAUCGCAGGUCAGCAUACUGCGGUGAAUACGUUCCCGGGUCUU
rnacentral:rRNA from 1 species